UACGUAGGGGGCAAGCGUUAUCCGGAAUUACUGGGUGUAAAGGGUGAGUAGGCGGCAUGGUAAGCCAGAUGUGAAAGCCUUGGGCUUAACCCGAGGAUUGCAUUUGGAACUAUCAAGCUAGAGUACAGGAGAGGAAAGCGGAAUUCCUAGUGUAGCGGUGAAAUGCGUAGAUAUUAGGAAGAACACCAGUGGCGAAGGCGGAUUUCUGGACUGAAACUGACGCUGAGGCACGAAAGCGUGGGGAGCGAACAGG
rnacentral:rRNA from 1 species